rnacentral:rRNA from 1 species
AGCGAACGCUGGCGGCAGGCCUAACACAUGCAAGUCGAACGAACCUUUCGGGGUUAGUGGCGGACGGGUGAGUAACACGUGGGAACGUGCCUUUAGGUUCGGAAUAACUCAGGGAAACUUGUGCUAAUACCGAAUGUGCCCUUCGGGGGAAAGAUUUAUCGCCUUUAGAGCGGCCCGCGUCUGAUUAGCUAGUUGGUUGAGGUAAUGGCUCACCAAGGCGACGAUCAGUAGCUGGUCUGAGAGGAUGAUCAGCCACAUUGGGACUGAGACACGGCCCAAACUCCGACGGGAGGCAGCAGUGGGGAAUCUUGCGCAAUGGGCGAAAGCCUGACGCAGCCAUGCCGCGUGAAUGAUGAAGGUCUUAGGAUUGUAAAAUUCUUUCACCGGGGACGAUAAUGACGGUACCCGGAGAAGAAGCCCCGGCUAACUUCGU